rnacentral:rRNA from 1 species
CUACGGGGGGCACCAGUGGGGAAUAUUGGACAAUGGGGGAAACCCUGAUCCAGCAAUGCCGCGUGUGUGAAGAAGGCCUGCGGGUUGUAAAGCACUUUCGGUUGGGAGGACUGCUUCUAGCACUAAUAUUGUUGGAAGUUGACGUUACCUUCAGAAGAAGCACCGGCUAACUCCGUGCCAGCAGCCGCGGAAGACGGAGGGUGCAAGCGUUAAUCGGAAUUACUGGGCGUAAAGCGCGCGUAGGCGGCUAGAUCAGUCGGGUGUGAAAGCCCCGGGCUUAACCUGGGAACUGCAUCCGAUACUGGCUAGCUUGAGUACAGGAGAGGAGAGUGGAAUUCCACAUGUAGCGGUGAAAUGCGUAGAUAUGUGGAGGAACACCAAUGGCGAAGGCAGCUCUCUGGCCUGAUACUGACGCUGAGGUGCGAAAGCGUGGGGAGCAAACAGGAUUAGAUACCCGGGUAGUC